AGAACGAACGCUGGCGGCAUGCCUAAUACAUGCAAGUCGAACGAACACUUCGGUGUUAGUGGCGCACGGGUGCGUAACGCGUGGGAAUCUGCCCUUGGGUUCGGAAUAACAGUUGGAAACGACUGCUAAUACCGGAUGAUAUCGAAAGAUCAAAGAUUUAUCGCCCAGGGAUGAGCCCGCGUAGGAUUAGCUAGUUGGUGAGGUAAAGGCUCACCAAGGCGACGAUCCUUAGCUGGUCUGAGAGGAUGAUCAGCCACA
rnacentral:rRNA from 1 species